rnacentral:rRNA from 1 species
AGAGUUUGAUCAUGGCUCAGGGCGAACGCUGGCGGCGUGCUUAACACAUGCAAGUCGAGCGGAAAGGCCCCUUCGGGGGUACUCGAGCGGCGAACGGGUGAGUAACACGUGAGCAACCUGCCCCUGACUCUGGGAUAAGCCCGGGAAACUGGGUCUAAUACCGGAUAUGACCACUCCAGGCAUCUGGUGGUGGUGGAAAGUUUUUCGGUUGGGGAUGGGCUCGCGGCCUAUCAGCUUGUUGGUGGGGUGAUGGCCUACCAAGGCGACGACGGGUAACCGGCCUGAGAGGGCGACCGGUCACACUGGGACUGAGACACGGCCCAGACUCCUACGGGAGGCAGCAGUGGGGAAUAUUGCACAAUGGGCGAAAGCCUGAUGCAGCGACGCCGCGUGAGGGAUGACGGCCUUCGGGUUGUAAACCUCUUUCAGCAGGGAAGAAGCGAAAGUGACGGUACCUGCAGAAGAAGCGCCGGCUAACUACGUGCCAGCAGCCGCGGUAAUACGUAGGGCGCAAGCGUUGUCCGGAAUUAUUGGGCGUAAAGAGCUCGUAGGCGGCUUGUCACGUCGGGUGUGAAAGCCCGGGGCUUAACCCCGGGUCUGCAUUCGAUACGGGCUAGCUAGAGUGUGGUAGGGGAGAUCGGAAUUCCUGGUGUAGCGGUGAAAUGCGCAGAUAUCAGGAGGAACCACCGGUGGCGAAGGCGGAUCUCUGGGCCAUUACUGACGCUGAGGAGUGAAAGCGUGGGGAGCGAACAGGAUUAGAUACCCUGGUAGUCCACGCCGUAAACGGUGGGAACUAGGUGUUGGCGACAUUCCACGUCGUCGGUGCCGCAGCUAACGCAUUAAGUUCCCCGCCUGGGGAGUACGGCCGCAAGGCUAAAACUCAAAGGAAUUGACGG